UUAUAUACCCCGGUACUCGGGCAAGAUUUUCGAUUUUUUUAUUUACUCCUCUUAAAAGACUAAUAUUAAAAAUAUACUUUUAACGUUUCAAAUUAUUACGAAUAUAUCACUAGAAUUAAAUUAUAUUAUUAGUGAUCUGUUAGGAAUAACUGUUAUCUCUAUAAAAUUAUUAUUUUAUUCUUUUAAAUAUAUCUUUUAUCAUCACCAACUUUCUUAUUUAUCCUUAAAUCAGAGUAAAAGAUGCAUUUUAAUUUUUUUGAAAAAAAAUAUACUCUUCUAUUAUCACAAUUUUUUCUUAUCUGCCCCUAAGUUAGAGGCAAAAGAGAUAUUUAAUUUUUUUAACUCUGGUAUAAAUUUAACUCAGGUUUAAUCCGAGAUAACUUAACAGGUAUUAACAGCGGGAGUAUUAUUAAAUAACAGAGAAAUAUAUUAGAGGUAUACUGAAAAAGGAAUAUAUCAGAUAUUUCAGAAGUUUUGAGGGGCAUAAAGGUAAUUAUUCUAAAAAGUUAAUUAGGUUUAUUUCAAGAGCUAAUUUGUUAAAAUUGUUAAUUUAUCAAUAUCACUCAAUAUCACUCAAAUAAAAGUAAAAAAAAAAGGCAUUACAUAAAAUCUUACUGUCAAAAUAUGAUUUUUCACUUUCCCUCCCGGUUAUUUAGAAACCUACACUUUGUCCCCUUGUAAAAUAAAAAAUGUUUACUUUGUCCCCUACCGUUUGUAUCCAUGGUUUCGUUUAUAAAAUAUUAUUAUAUAUUUUUUAUGCUAAAAAUGCCCUCAGCCUUCUUUUCUGUGAACAUGAUGAGAGGCAAAAUGGUGAAAAAUGGUCAUUUUAUCAUCACAGUUCACAUCGUACUCUUGUGAAUAUUUUUUAUUUUAUAAGAAGGCAAAAUGUAGAUUUUAAAACGACAGGAAAAGUGAAAAAUCGAAUUUUGACAGGUGGGUUUUCUAUAAUUUAGCAAAAAAAAAAAGAAAAAUAUGAGGUUGAGGGCUCUAGUCCAAAAUGCCUAUAAGUAGGGGGUUUCCAUGCAAUUUUACCCCUAACUUUACUUAAUCGUACACUUUCCCCUUUUCUCCUGUCUCCGAAUAAAAGAGGGAGCUUUGCCCCGCGUCUCUCUCUCUCUCUCUCUUCGCGAUUCGAUGAUGGUGUCGCCUCACUCCCACUCCCCGCCGCCUCUCCCGCUCCCCUAAACCCCAACCCCAGCCGAGACCUCUCCCCGAUUCCGGUAAGAUUCGUACCAUAAUCCUCAAUUUUUGGUUUUGAUUCGUGUUGUGUCUGUGUGUCUGUGAUCCGAUCCGCGUUUUCGCGGCGAAAUUUGGUGAAUUGUGGGUUUGGGAUCCGAAUUUAGGGUUUUUUUUUUUCAAAAAAAAAGUUCGUGUAGCUUUUUGAUUUCGUGAUCUUGGGGUUUUGGAUGAGGUCGGGAGGGCGGGUUGGUUGUGGUGAUUGGUGCUGGGUGUAGGAUUAGGGUUUCUAGGGUUUCUGGCCUUUUAGGGUUUGUAGGGGGCCUUUUGGGGUUGACUUAUUGCAUGUGAGUGAUGAGAUAUGUUGAAGCUGGGGAGAAUGGAUCUAUUGAUCUUGUUGGUGUAUCUUGUGAUUUAGAGUGUAUUAGCUGCUAUUUUCGCUCUGUUUCAUAAUUAGGG
rnacentral:lncRNA from 1 species